GAGCACCAGGAGUUCGGGCCUUCUUUGGAGUUUGUUUCAUCCUUGAAGCUCCACCCUCACCGACCACCUCAACCUUGUCCGCAGCUUGUAGAUGGGCAGCAACACCACCCUCAACUCCAGGUCACUAAUAAUCUGAUACCAAGCAAAAUCAUAACAUCAACGUUUCUGCUCCCACCGUCUUUUUUCCUGUUAAAAUAAUGCUACCACCAGCGAAGCCGAGCAACCGCGCACUAACGCAUCUUAACAUCACCGCGAAGUACCACACUGUCUCCGAACCUGCAAAGGACGAGCCUUCACCGGUAAGAAAAGGAGAAGAAACGAGGAAUAACUGGCAGCGAACCUUACCGCUACCUGGUGGGCGGGGAACCGACCGGCACUUGAGGGUGGUGAUGGGAUUUAACUUCUGACGCGCCGAACCCUCGUCUGUUGCUCUUUUCAGACUCGCGCGACGUGGGGAGCGCAGGCGAUUUAUAAAUUUCCAGGUUAAGAUUAAAAAAAGUGACCGUUGUACCGACGGGUGAAGUAGAAGGAGAGGAAAAGAAAAUCGACCCCGCGCUUCGUCCUCCUCCAAAUCUGGAGCGGUGGCGUAGAAAGGGACGCGGAAUAAAAGAAGACGAGAAAGGAAAGAGGGUUGGGGGAGGGGGGUGUGAGAGGAUGUGGGAGAUCUCUACGCAUUCCGAUAAGAUGGACACGCCGGAGAGGAGCAAGAUUGGGAGCACACCGCUUUCUACGUUCCAGGUGACGGGGAUGUCUGGCGUUAUGUUGGGGUUUGGAUGCAAGAUUGGGUUUCACUUCAUUGGAAUGGUGAAAGUUGUGCUGUUGUGGGUGAUCAAUUGGUUCUCACAGGGUGGCUUGGAUGGCUCGCGUGUUCUUUGUUUUUCUGCCCUUCUCGAGGUGAUCUCGUUUCGCGGCCCUUCUUGCGAAGUCUCGCCUUUCUUGACGAUUUUAUUCUGUUUUAAUUUGGGUUUUUUCGUUUGUUUCUUUAGAUUUGGAGGGGACACAUAGGUCUGGCGUUAUAUUGGGUUUGGAUGCAAGAUUGGGUUUUCACUUCGUUGGAUCGGUGAAAUUUUUGCCGUUAUGUGUGAUCAAUUGGUUUUCUCUUGGGAUGGCUCGUGUGUUCUUUGUUUUUCUGCCCUAUUUUUUUGGGGCGUUCUAGAUUUUUGUUGUUGUUUGUGGCAAAAGAUUUGGUUUUGGGGUUCGUUUCGAUGCUAGAGUUUGUAACUGGAAGUUGUGGGUUGUUGCUUGUAGGGUUUUGAUUUGCUUAGCUUAAAGUGUUGUUAAUAAGAUUCCCCCUUGAGGAGGAUGUUAUGUAUGUUCUAGGAAAAGUGAACUUUGGUGGUUUUUGUUUUUGGUCUCUGCUCGUACUCUAGGGUUUAAUUUCCUGUUCCUUUCCUCCUGUUUGCAUUCUAUGAAUUGGCGUUUUAGUUCAGAUGACCAGUUUCAAUGGAGAUCUGCAAGGGUUUGAAUUUAAUGUACGCUCCUACUUCCCUUCUUCCGACUUCUAGGAUCCGAGAAAUUAACUUAUGGAUCUGAGUAUUCCCUCUUAUUCUUAACAAUGAGGAGAAAUUCCAAAUGAUGCAGUAUUUUGUUGAGUUUUUGCAGGCCUUGGUGCCUUUUUUGUUCUUCCUCCACUGAUGCAGCCCAGAGCAUGCCUUGGCUGGUCUUCGUGUGCGUCAAAUUGCUUGUCCUUCUAUCUACCUUUAACAAUACAGCUUGAUUAGGAUUCUCCUGUCUUCAACUUCAUCAAUAGUUUGUCUCCUAUCCGGCCUGUCAAAUCUGUAGAUUCACUACACAGUGUGCCAUCAUAUCUGCCUUCUAUUUCUUCCAUCUUUACUUCACCACAUGCCAAUUUACAAAGGGAACCAAAAUUUUUGAUAAGGGGCUUGCAAAGGGCUCAGUGAGAAAUUAGGAGAUUCUUCAAAGCUUGCACAGGACCUUAACCAUUCACGGAAACACCAUCUGAUGAGUCUUUUGGUCCCUUUGUCCCAACUGCUUCACAAGAUCCUUCAGUCAACUGUAGCAAAGAAAAUGGGAAGGAGGAUGAAAUAGAUCAUAACCCGUGAAUUCUCUUAAACACUUGUCAGACUCAUGUUGCGCUGAAUGAUCAGAUCAAGAACACAGCCACUGGAACAAGUGAUCACAUUCCAUAAGGCCACAAGGUGGAUCUUCUUAUCAGAAAUCAUGGAUAUAGUAUUUGACAUUUUCUCCCCCCACACUUAUUCCUUGUCUUUUUUUUUUUACCCCCAUUUUAAUUUUGUUAUUUCAUCCUUUGACUAGGAUGUGUCAUAUGUUCAAACAAAUUGCGUAUUUUGGUGAGCAAUUUUUGUUUGGGAAUUUAACUCUCGAGACACUUCUUCUCACUCUGCUAUGAACCUGAUAUAUUCAGUAUUUUUAGUGGACUUA